UACGAAGGGUGCAAACGUUGCUCGGAAUUAUUGGGCGUAAAGGGUGCGUAGGCGGUUCCGCAAGUCCUGUGUGAAAUCUUCGGGCUCAACUCGAAGUCUGCACGGGAAACUGCGGGGCUUGAGUGUGGGAGAGGUGAGUGGAAUUCCCGGUGUAGCGGUGAAAUGCGUAGAUAUGCGGAGGAACACCGAUGGCGAAGGCAAUCCCCUGGGCCUGUACUGACGCUCAUGCACGAAAGCGUGGGGAGCAAACAGG
rnacentral:rRNA from 1 species